CUGGAUUUGCAGGGUCCUAUAUUCUAGAUGCUCAAGAUGGAAUAAUUUUUUCUGCCAAUUUAUUUAACAUCCAGAAGGAGGCCCUUCAUUCUGCAGAAGUAUCCCGUGAGGAAGAUCUGUUGAAGUACUCUUAUGAUCUUAUCUUGUUGGUAUGCAGCUUGUUGUGGUGGAUUAAAUAUAUUGCUUCAACCCAAUUUGCAAAGCUGGAUUUCUGUUAGGAGGGGCAUCUACAGUGUUUCCUUAACAUCAGCUAGGGGAAGAGACCAUGGGAAGCAAGGGGAAAGUUUGGAAGUUGCUAUCACUUUGCAACCUCCCUCUCUAUUCUGAGAUUAGAUGGCCCUCUUCCAGACUGUUUUUUUUUCCUCA